rnacentral:misc_RNA from 1 species
UAAUGCAAGAAAACAAAAUUGAGUGAAAGAAAAUGAUCAAUGUAAGGCAAUAAAAUACCAGCUCAAGUUUUGCUGGUUGCUUCUCUUGUUCCUACUUAUGCAACUGUAUUUGUAUUUGAUGCUUGUAAAUUGUACCUCAUAAGGUGCUAUUGAAAGGGAAUAUAGUUUUAGUUAUUUCACUCAAUUUUGUUUUCUUGCAUUAA